CACGUAGGGCGCAAGCGUUGUCCGGAAUUAUUGGGCGUAAAGAGCUCGUAGGCGGUCUGUUACGUCUGCUGUGAAAACCCAGGGCUUAACCCUGGGCUUGCAGUGGAUACGGGCAGACUAGAGGCAGGUAGGGGAGAAUGGAAUUCCCGGUGUAGCGGUGAAAUGCGCAGAUAUCGGGAGGAACACCGGUGGCGAAGGCGGGUCUCUGGGGCCGAUACUGACGCUGAGGAGCGAAAGCGUGGGGAGCGAACAGG
rnacentral:rRNA from 1 species